ACCUCAAUUCAUCAGGAGAGACCUAGUGUGGGUGUAGGGGUGCCUGAGGAGAAAGGGGUGCUGGUUCUUCCUUAUAUCCCCUGCCUGCCUCAGCUGGGCUCUGACCCAGCCAGCAGACUGGAGUCCUCUUCUGCAUGGUAAGGAAACUGAGGCUUAGAGGAGUUAUGAAAUUGCCCAAGGUUUCACAGCUGAAAUGUAUAAGGACCUGGACUUGCAAAUUUGGCACAAAGUUCUUCUAAUAAGAGGCCAUAAAAUAACCAAAUGAUUUUUUAUGUGCCUAUAGAACCAAAAGAACUAUUUCAGAAUGUCAGCUGAAAAGCACGAUAUUCCAGAUAGCUUAGAAACCUUGGCAUAGUGCCUUCCUGGAAAUCCUGGAUUGCAUCUAAAACCAUGUGGCAGAGGGAGAAACAACAGACAGGACAUCCUGAGAAGACUCAGGCUGGGACGAAAGCUCUGCUCUCCAGGGACAAAGCAGCAGGGGACCAGCCAUGCUCAGAAAUACUCCACUGGCCAGUGCACAUUUUUUUGAGCAAUUUCACUUGCUUCCUCACCACCUGUCCCCCUAACACUUCUAUUAAAGUGGCAAAUAAAUCUGAUACCCAAUUUCAA
rnacentral:lncRNA from 1 species